rnacentral:rRNA from 1 species
GCCAGACUCCUACGGGAGGCAGCAGUGAGGAAUAUUGGUCAAUGGCCGGAAGGCUGAACCAGCCAAGCCGCGUGAAGGACGAAGGUGCCAAGCAUUGUAAACUUCUUUUGUCAAGGGACAAAAUCAGGCUCGAGAGCCUGACCGAGGGUACUUGAAGAAAAAGCAUCGGCUAACUCCGUGCCAGCAGCCGCGGUAAUACGGAGGAUGCGAGCGUUAUCCGGAUUUAUUGGGUUUAAAGGGUGCGCAGGCGGAUUUUUAAGUCAGCGGUAAAAUCGUGGGGCUCAACCCCAUCCAGCCGUUGAAACUGGGGAUCUAGAGUGUGCGAGAGGUAUGCGGAAUGCGUGGUGUAGCGGUGAAAUGCAUAGAUAUCACGCAGAACCCCGAUUGCGAAGGCAGCAUACCGGUGCACAACUGACGCUCAGGCACGAAAGCGUGGGUAUCGAACAGGAUUAGAUACCCUUGUA